UAGGGAAUCUUCCACAAUGGACGCAAGUCUGAUGGAGCAACGCCGCGUGAGUGAAGAAGGUUUUCGGACCGUAAAGCUCUGUUGUUGGUGAAGAAGGAUAGAGGUAGUAACUGGCCUUUAUUUGACGGUAAUCAACCAGAAAGUCACGGCUAACUACGUGCCAGCAGCCGCGGUAAUACGUAGGUGGCAAGCGUUGUCCGGAUUUAUUGGGCGUAAAGCGAGCGCAGGCGGAAGAAUAAGUCUGAUGUGAAAGCCCUCGGCUUAACCGAGGAAUUGCAUCGGAAACUGUUUUCUUGAGUGCAGAAGAGGAGAGUAGAACUCCAUGUGUAGCGGUGGAAUGCGUAGAUAUAUGGAAGAAUACCAGUGGCGAAGGCGGCUCUCUGGUCUGCAACUGACGCUGAGGCUCGAAAGCAUGGGUAGCGGACAGGAUUAGAUACCCUGGUAGUCCAUGCCGUAAACGAUGAGUGCUAAGUGUUGGGAGGCUUCCGCCUCUCAGUGCUGCAGCUAACGCAUUAAGCACUCCGCCUGGGGGAGUACGACCGCAAGGUUGAAAC
rnacentral:rRNA from 1 species